rnacentral:rRNA from 1 species
AUUGAACGCUGGCGGCAUGCCUUACACAUGCAAGUCGAACGGUAACGGGCCUUCGGGUGCCGACGAGUGGCGAACGGGUGAGUAAUACAUCGGAACGUGCCCGAUCGUGGGGGAUAACGAGGCGAAAGCUUUGCUAAUACCGCAUACGAUCUACGGAUGAAAGCAGGGGACCGCAAGGCCUUGCGCGGACGGAGCGGCCGAUGGCAGAUUAGGUAGUUGGUGGGAUAAAAGCUUACCAAGCCGACGAUCUGUAGCUGGUCUGAGAGGAUGAUCAGCCACACUGGGACUGAGACACGGCCCAGACUCCUACGGGAGGCAGCAGUGGGGAAUUUGGACAAUGGGCGCAAGCCUGAUCCAGCCAUGCCGCGUGCAGGAUGAAGGCCUUCGGGUUGUAAACUGCUUUUGUACGGAACGAAAAGCCUUCUUUUAAUACAGGAGGGUCAUGACGGUACCGUAAGAAUAAGCACCGGCUAACUACGUG